rnacentral:ncRNA from 1 species
AUUGUAAACGGACUGUACUACCGAUUGAAUGGUUUACUGAAUUCGUCGGAUUAGUGUUGUUGUAGUGUCUUUACCGCUCGACUGAUGCUUAGAUGACCUAAUUUGACUAUUUAAAGGAUGUAAAAGUCGUAACAAGAUUUCCGUAAGUGAACUUGCGGAAU